AAGCCAGUUAAGGCAUUACUACUGAUAUCUGUUUGUAUACUUUAGUGAUCUGCUGAAUGUUUAAUGGCACAAGCGAUUCAUUGGCAAUUUUCAGUUUCCGAAAUGCUGUCCUUGUCCAAUAAGCCAGAAGAAAAGGUACGGCAUCCAGGCCUAACUAUUCUCACCUAACUCUUGUCACAUGACGACAGUAUGAACUAAGACAACUUUCUGCAGUCAGUCUUUCACAACGGCAUAAUCAGCAAGCUCCCAAUCGUGAAUGCCAAAAUCACAAUCAUGUACAGGUUGUAGACAAGAUGUCCUUGCUGGAAUACUGUAGUACCUCUUGCCAUCACAUUGUCAAAUCUUGACAGUUUCUUCAGUUCGUCCAUGAAUUCAACUUCUGCCAAACCUAUAUUCUUCUUUUACUUCUUGUUUUGGUGCAAAGUUGCCUUGUAUGUCAUAUUCAUGCUGCAGUACGCACCUGCACAAGCAAUAUAAACAGUUUAAUCGAAACCAAAAGGGACACAUUUGGCUUUUGUCAAAAAUAUUACUUACCACUUCAUGGUAGU
rnacentral:lncRNA from 1 species